UAGAAGGUGACAUUCCUACCUAUCUGUAGCAGUCCAGGAAGGUCAUUACAAGGUUUGCUUAAAAGCUUUGCUUGGGUGAUAAACUUCCAAAUAGGAUGUGGCAGCGGGGAAGCUACUAAAAAUCGGAGAACUUGGAAUAAUCCUUUGAAAGCCUUUGAUAUAUUUUUCAACCACCAAGAGGAAGAACUGUACCUGGACCUUUACAGAGCAUGUGUUAGUGGAAAGUCAACACUGUAAGAAGUAUUGUAAGACAGGACCAUCUUGCAAAAAAACAAAACAAAAACCCACUUCAUCCUGCAGUCUUAAGCAGGUGGAACAUUUUUCCUCCCCAUUCAGAAGAAAAGCUGCUUGUGAAUGCAACUAAUGAAGGCUGUUAUUCUGAAAAGAAAGAGAUUACAUUUCCUAUAGAUAGGCCGUAUGUAUCAGUUUACUUUUUCAGUCGCAGGCUUUGGAAUUUAUACAAGUUGAUGCCUAGCACUUUUAUUUCACUUUAAAUUCUACUUACAACAAUAACAAGGUUGUGUUUAUAAAAUGGGUUCUUUCCCUUCCCCAGGGAUAUCUCUAAGCAUGUGCAUUAUCAUGAGUUCCAGUUCAUUCAAUUUCAAGGAAGUGCUUUCCUUCUUUUGAUAAGUUUUCUUCCAAUGCAGACAUUUUCAAACAAAAGUUAAUUAAUAUUUUUCCACCCAAAUUAGCAGUCACGAAAAACAAUUGUUUUCUAAAGCAAGGUGUAAUAAAUACUAUAGGUCUCCAAAAAGCAGAACAGUACAAUUUUAUCGAAUCAAGAAUGCUUUAAAAAUAUCAUUGUUUUGAAAUAUAAAGUCACACUAUGGUAGCAUUCAAGAAUAUAAAGCAAAGAUAACAGCAUUUUGUUUGCCUUUAGAGUGACAUGAAAAAAGUUGUAAUUUUUUGUAACAUU